rnacentral:lncRNA from 1 species
CUAAUUAACUGAAUUGAUCAUACAGUUUUUUCUUUAACAUAUAUUAAAAGUGUAUUAUAUGUUACUCUUAGCAUAAAAUAUAUUCCAUCCCUCAUAUGUAAGCAAGGGAAAUCAUUCUUUUUUUUUUUUUUUAAUUUUUAAUUUUUAUUUUUUUCUAGACCACUUCAGCCUAACAAUUUUGGAUCCACGUCCCACUGAAUUGAUAAGAAAAGCUACCCUUGGGUCUGGGUCUGCAGAUUCUGCUUUUACAGAUUCUCAUUUGCACUGAGGAAGUGUGGAACAGGCACUCAGCAAUAAUUUCUCCAAACAUCAGUUACCAGGUAAUUAUUUCUUUUAGCCUGAUUCUAAUGUGAAGAGUAUGGCUAUAAGACUGGUUUGGAUACAGCACAUGGCAGUUGAUCCUGCUGUCUUUCAGGAGC